GAAGCUGGCCAGACAGUCGCUGCUCGCGGUGCAAACGUGCGGGUAGAGGAAAGUCCGGGCUCCAGAGAGCAGGAUGCCGGCUAACGGCCGGACGCCGUGAGGCGAUGGAAAGUGCCACAGAAAACAUACCGCCGAUGACUACGCUGACUUCGCGGCCGCAAGGCCGCAAAGUCUCGCUCCGUAAGCGAGCAGGGCGAAGAUCAGGUAAGGGUGAAAAGGUGACAGGCGGAUUUCCGCCUGGUAGCGGCCGCGAAGCGGCGCUAUGGUAAGAGCUCACCGCGUUGCUGGUAACAGCAAUGGCAGGGUAAACCCCAUCCGGAGCAAGGCCAAAUAGGGAAGCGACAGCGUGGCUCGCGCUGCUUCCGGGUAGGCUGCUAGAGCGCGCCGGUAACGGCGCCCCCAGAGGAAUGACUGUCAUAGGGAUGCGUCCCUAACAGAACCCGGCUUAUCGGCCAGCUUCUCCU
rnacentral:RNase_P_RNA from 1 species